rnacentral:rRNA from 1 species
GAUGAACGCUAGCGAUAGGCUUAACACAUGCAAGUCGAGGGGCAGCAUGGUCUUAGCUUGCUAAGACUGAUGGCGACCGGCGCACGGGUGCGUAACGCGUAUGCAACUUGCCUCACAGAGGGGGAUAACCCGUCGAAAGACGGACUAAUACCGCGUACACUUGGGAUAGGGCAUCCUGACCCAAGGAAAUGAAAUUCGCUGUGAGAUAGGCAUGCGUCCCAUUAGCUAGUUGGUGAGGUAACGGCUCACCAAGGCGACGAUGGGUAGGGGAACUGAGAGGUUGAACCCCCACACUGGUACUGAGACACGGACCAGACUCCUACGGGAGGCAGCAGUGAGGAAUAUCGGUCAAUGGGCGAGAGCCUGAACCAGCCAAGUCGCGUGAAGGAUGACUGUCUUAUGGAUUGUAAACCUCUUUUAUACGGGAAUAACAAGAGCCACGUGUGGCUCCCUGCAUGUACCGUAUGAAUAAGCAUCGGCUAACUCCGUG